rnacentral:rRNA from 1 species
UACGAAGGGGGCUAGCGUUGCUCGGAAUCACUGGGCGUAAAGCGCACGUAGGCGGCUUGUUAAGUCAGGGGUGAAAUCCUGGAGCUCAACUCCAGAACUGCCUUUGAUACUGAAGAUCUUGAGUUCGGGAGAGGUGAGUGGAACUGCGAGUGUAGAGGUGGAAUUCGUAGAUAUUCGCAAGAACACCAGUGGCGAAGGCGGCUCACUGGCCCGAUACUGACGCUGAGGCACGAAAGCGUGGGGAGCAAACAGG